rnacentral:rRNA from 1 species
AUGAACGCUGGCGGCGUGCCUAAUCCAUGCAAGUCGAGCGAACGGACGAGAAGCUUGCUUCUCUGAUGUUAGCGGCGGACGGGUGAGUAACACGUGGAUAACCUACCUAUAAGACUGGGAUAACUUCGGGAAACCGGAGCUAAUACCGGAUAAUAUUUUGAACCGCAUGGUUCAAAAGUGAAAGACGGUCUUGCUGUCACUUAUAGAUGGAUCCGCGCUGCAUUAUCUAGUUGGUAAGGUAACGGCUUACCAAGGCAACGAUGCAUAGCCGACCUGAGAGGGUGAUCGGCCACACUGGAACUGAGACACGGUCCAGACUCCUACGGGAGGCAGCAGUAGGGAAUCUUCCGCAAUGGGCGAAAGCCUGACGGAGCAACGCCGCGCGAGUGAUGAAGGUCUUCGGAUCGUAAAACUCUGUUAUUAGGGAGGAACAUAUGUGUAAGUAACUGUGCACAUCUUGACGGUACCUAAUCAGAAAGCCACGGCUAACUACGUG